GCAUAUUUGACUUAUUUGCUUACACUUGAUUUGUCCCCAUUAUUAUUUAAGGAUUUCAAAUUUUCCUCCUUUUUUUUUUUUUUUUUGAAUUGUUUUGUUAAUAUAAAUCCUAAAUAAAAAUGAGAUAAAUAAAUAAAAAAGGCGUUAGAAAAAGUCGACAGUUUUCAGUUGGCCCAAGAAAAUUAUUCGGGCUUAUUCAUUGGAGCGUAAAUUCGGUGAUCGUGGAUGAAGUUCAUAAAUGGGGAUAAAGGAUCCGAGAUCGGAACCGUUGGAAGUAUCAAUCACAGCUGUCGCGAGUCAACGGUAGAUCAUCUGAAGAGGCAGAUUCAUCAGCACCCUUGCUGCAUCAAAUACGAUGGACCUUCCUUCCUUUGUUUCUCACUACUUCAUGAUUAAACCAACUGCUUCAUAGGCAAGAUGCAUUUUGGCUACAUUCGAGGCUUAAUGUCUGAUUGUGGAGGAAGAUUACUUGAAACGAAGCAAGUUACAACGAACAAAUCUUUUUCCCCUUCUUCAGGCUAUUCCGAGUUUUUGGGAGCUGUUUGCGGCAAAACGGAGAGCACGGCGAGAUCUAAGUGUGAGUACAAGCAAUUUCAGUUUUGGUCUCCCCUAGGAUUUCGAGUUUUGAGGCCCAUUUUGAGGGAUUUUCUACAAAUUGAGGACACGGACGGGAAGUGGCAGAAGACGCUCCUCCACAGGGUUCGAUGGGUUAGUAGACUGUUUUGACAUACUUUGUAGCUAUGAUUUCAUUUUUUUAUUAUUUAUUUAUUUAUUUUUAUUAUUAUUAUUUUUAUAAACUUUGAGAUGACACGUAUAAUAUGGACUGACAUAGGAAAGGAUAAUAGUGCCCUUAGUUGACCUCGGGUUUGGGUAAGGACCCGGUUAACGAUUCGGACCCUCGGGUUCGGGUCGUUACAGUGUCACUUGGAUGGUGCUCUUUAGUUAAUUGCCUUUUGUGUUGUUACCGGAUGAUGUUGUUGCUCUUCAUUUGUAUUAUGCUAAUUUAGCAGAUCUGAUGUAUACCACAUAGUAUACUAUUAUGCUACUACACAGUUGUAUAUAUAUAUUGACAUAAAUUAUACAAAGCAGUUGUCAUUGUUCACGUCAAAUGCAGUUAAUUCAAUAUUUUAUUCAAUGCAUUUGCAACUUCCAAUUCUUAUAAUGUUUUUCGUGUCAAAUUCCAAUUUCCAAGUGUUAAUUCUAUUAUUAUUAUUACUUCUUUUUUUUCUUUUUCUUGUUUUAAUAAAAAAUGGAUGUACAUGUUUUUUUUUUUUUUAGUUGGUACUUUACACACACAUGACUAUUGAAACUCGAAUUCAUAAUCUCUCCUUAUAAAGUACUAGUGGUUCGGUACCGCUGACUAUUGGUCAUGUGCAUGUUCUCAUUGGUUCAUUUGAUUAUUAUUAUAAAGUUUGACCAUGGAACAAAAGGAAAGUUUCAAUCAAAGGGUAGCCAUAUGUUUUUUAAAUAGCCAAUACUUUGUGUUAUUGUUAAUUCCACUGUUGAUCAAACAAGUGAAAAAUGUAUAAUUUGUGUGUUGCAAGAGCCAAUACUCUCAUAUUGUUCAAUCCAGUCUUUUUCAAACAACUGGAAAAUGCCUUAGGGCAAAAUUUAAUCAGUGUCAUUUAGUAUAGAAACUAGAUGAUGAAGUUCCAAUUGCAUAGACAAGCCAAAUCAAGUAACAAACAGGAAAGCCAAAACAGUAGAGCCAAACUUUUCAAGGAAAAUUUUUACACUCAUUUCAACUCUAUACUUGUUCUUCAAGAUUCUGAAGUCCCUUUAUUUUCAAAUUGAAACUCAAGUAAAUGAGAGGCCAAUGAUUUAAUCCGAUUAUUGUAGGGAUUUUAUCAAGGAUAGCUAACCACAAUGUGAAAAAUUGUUUAGAAAUAGUUUAGCUUGUCUUCGUGUCAAAACCAGCCCAUACCGCUUUGCACACUCUCCGGUGUUUACUAUUUUCUUCCAAACACUGCGUCUUGUACAAUUUAGAAGUGUUUACACAUGUAAAUGCCUACCCAAAGCUUAUAUAAUAAACAUUAAUGGAGAGGAAAUCUUUCCUGCACAAAAUACUAACUAGACAUCAGCAAACAUAAUAUAAUUUAAUUUUAGUUUAAGCAUAUUCUAAUUUGUAUUUAAAAUUCUCCUGUUGAGUGUCAAUGCCUUAGCAGUAGAAAAUAGUGUCUUCUAUCAUUGAGAAUACUUAUUACCAAAAUGAUUUUUAUUUUAACUACCAAAUUUUUUUUAGCAACACUUGCUUGUUAUCUGAUUUGUUUAAAGUGUUUUAGUGCCAAAAUUUGUGCAGCACUUUUACUGUUAUCAAAUAUAUUUUUAUAUUCUUGUUUUAAAAAAUCCAUAUUACAAAUUUUACAUUACUAAACAUGUUUUCAAUCUCAAAUGUAUACAAACCACAACAAUAUAUAUAUAUAUAUAUAUAUAUAUAUAUAUAUAGAAUGGAAAUGAAAACGCAAAACAACAACGUUGCCUUCACGAGCAUAUUUGACUUAUUUGCUUGCACUUGAUUUGUCUCCAUUAUUAUUUAAGGAUUUCAA